rnacentral:rRNA from 1 species
UACAGAGGGUGCGAGCGUUGUCCGGAAUCACUGGGCGUAAAGGGCGCGUAGGCGGCCUGAUAAGUAGGGGGUGAAAUCCUGUGGCUCAACUGCAGGGCUGCCUCCUAGACUGUCGGGCUUGAGCACGGUAGAGGCAGAUGGAAUUCCCGGUGUAGCGGUGGAAUGCGUAGAGAUCGGGAAGAACAUCGGUGGCGAAGGCAGCUCGCUGGGCCACUACUGACGCUGAGAAGCGAAAGCAUGGGGAGCGAACAGG